CAGGCGCAGCUGAUCAUUCAUUCCGCGNUGCAGGACGAAGGCCUUCGGGUUGUAAACUGCUUUUGUACGGAACGAAAAAGCCUCGGUUAAUACCCGGGGUCCAUGACGGUACCGUAAGAAUAAGCACCGGCUAACUACGUGCCAGCAGCCGCGGUAAUACGUAGGGUGCGAGCGUUAAUCGGAAUUACUGGGCGUAAAGCGUGCGCAGGCGGUUAUAUAAGACAGAUGUGAAAUCCCCGGGCUCAACCUGGGAACUGCAUUUGUGACUGUAUAGCUAGAGUGCGGCAGAGGGGGAUGGAAUUCCGCGUGUAGCAGUGAAAUGCGUAGAUAUGCGGAGGAACACCGAUGGCGAAGGCAAUCCCCUGGGCCUGCACUGACGCUCAUGCACGAAAGCGUGGGGAGCAAACAGGAUUAGAUACCCUGGUAGUCCACGCCCUAAACGAUGUCAACUGGUUGUUGGGUCUUCACUGACUCAGUAACGAAGCUAACGCGUGAAGUUGACCGCCUGAGGAGUACGGCCGAAAGGUUGAAACUCACAGGAAUUGACGGGGAACCGUACAAGCGGUGGAUGAUGUGGUUUAAUUCGAUGGCAACGCGGAAAACCUUUACCCACCUUUUGACAUGUACGGGAAUUACCCGAAAUGGGUUCGAGCUCGGAACGAAACGGUAACCACAG
rnacentral:rRNA from 1 species